rnacentral:misc_RNA from 1 species
GAUGAAGAACGUAGUGAAAUGCGAUAAGUAAUGUGAAUUGCAGAAUUCAGUGAAUCAUCGAAUCUUUGAACGCACCUUGCGCCCUUUGGCUAUUCCGAAGGGCAUGCCUGUUUGAGUAUCAUGAACACCUCAACUCUCAUGGCUUGCCAUGAUGAGCUUGGACUAUGGGGGUCUUGCUGGCCUGUGGUCGGCUCCUCUCAAAUGAAUCAGCUUGCCAGUGUUUGGUGGCAUCACAGGUGUGAUAACUAUCUACGCUUGUGGUUUUCCACCAGGUAACCUUCAGCAAUGGAGGUUCGCUGGGGCUCAUAAAUGUCUCUCCUCAGCGAGGACAGCUCUUUGAACGUUUGAUCUCAAAUCAGGUAGGACUACCCGCUGAACUUAAGCAUAUCAAUAAGCGGAGGA